rnacentral:rRNA from 1 species
ACUGCUCUUUAACAAUUUAUCAGACAAUCUGUGUGGGCACUCAAAGUGACAUGGAUUCUUAACGUCCUCGGACGAAAAAUGAAUACCAAGUCUCAAGAGUGAACACGUAAUUCAUUACGAAGUUUAAUUCUUUGAGCAUCAAACUUAAAUUGAAGAGUUUGAUCAUGGCUCAGAUUGAACGCUGGCGGCAGGCCUAACACAUGCAAGUCGAGCGGUAGCACAGAGAGCUUGCUCUCGGGUGACGAGCGGCGGACGGGUGAGUAAUGUCUGGGAAACUGCCUGAUGGAGGGGGAUAACUACUGGAAACGGUAGCUAAUACCGCAUAACGUCGCAAGACCAAAGUGGGGGACCUUCGGGCCUCAUGCCAUCAGAUGUGCCCAGAUGGGAUUAGCUAGUAGGUGGGGUAACGGCUCACCUAGGCGACGAUCCCUAGCUGGUCUGAGAGGAUGACCAGCCACACUGGAACUGAGACACGGUCCAGACUCCUACGGGAGGCAGCAGUGGGGAAUAUUGCACAAUGGGCGCAAGCCUGAUGCAGCCAUGCCGCGUGUGUGAAGAAGGCCUUCGGGUUGUAAAGCACUUUCAGCGGGGAGGAAGGCGGU